rnacentral:siRNA from 1 species
AAGCCAGUGACAGCCAUUGUAA